rnacentral:rRNA from 1 species
AUUGAACGCUGGCGGCAUGCCUUACACAUGCAAGUCGAACGGCGGCACGGGUGCUUGCACCUGGUGGCGAGUGGCGAACGGGUGAGUAAUACAUCGGAACGUACCUUAUCGUGGGGGAUAACGCAGCGAAAGCUGUGCUAAUACCGCAUACGCCCUGAGGGGGAAAGCGGGGGAUCGCAAGACCUCGCGCGAUUAGAGCGGCCGAUGCCUGAUUAGCUUGUUGGUGGGGUAAAAGCCCACCAAGGCGACGAUCAGUAGCUGGUCUGAGAGGACGAUCAGCCACACUGGGACUGAGACACGGACCAGACGCCUACGGGAGGCAGCAGUGGGGAAUUUUGGACAAUGGGGGCAACCCUGAUCCAGCAAUGCCGCGUGAGUGAAGAAGGCCUUCGGGUUGUAAAGCUCUUUUGUCAGGGAAGAAACACCGGCUCUAACACAGUCCGGGAAUGACGGUACCUGAAGAAUAAGCACCGGCUAACUACGUGCCAGCCGCCGCCGUAA